rnacentral:lncRNA from 1 species
CAAAAGUAGGCAAUGAGUCCCACUUUUCACGGGGUUGCUGCUGUCAUUACGUGUCUGGGCAGCAAGCAGGCCCACGUUGAGGUGAGAGGGAGUGUAAACGGUGCUUGGGCCGAACUUGUUUGCAGCUUUGUAUCUUGGUGUAUUGUUCAGAUCCAUACUAUACAUUCAAAGCAUAUUUAAUGCACACUUGCACAGAUUUCACCUCCCCCCAAAAGAAUCCUGGGAAUUGUAGUUUUCCCCUCACAGGGGGGUACCAUUUCUAGCGCCCUUAACAUCAACUACAGUUCCCCAGAGUCUCUGGGAGAAGUUAUGCGCUUUGAACACACAUUGAACAUACUUUUAAGUGUACAGUGUGGAUCUUCCCUUAGAAAAAAGCCACAUGGCAUGACCUGGAGUGCCGUUUCAUAUAUUUAUAUACAUGCACAUGGUGCUCAGAAUGAAGCAUUAUGCUCCCCAUUCCCAUUUCUUUUCAGGAUCUAAAUCAACCUGCUUGCCCUCCAGGUGUUUUGGACUACAACUCCCGUCCGUUCCGUCUGGGGCAGAUGGGAAUUGCAGUCAGAAACAUCUGGAGGGUACCAGGUUGGCAAAGGCUGAGCUAAAGCAAGCGCUUCUUUUGGUUUGAGGAUCCUGGUCUAAUUUGAAGUGAAAUCGCCCUGCUUUUGAAUCCUCCUCGUAAACAUCUCUGAGCAUCUUCCAGGGAUUUUUGUUGCUUUGAAGCGUGCAGUUGGACACAAAAUGUGCAUUGGAAAACAAUUUUGUUCAGUUGGAAAGAUGAUAAAGCACAGUUGGAAGAAUGGGAGGCAGGGAGAAACUAGACACGUUAGGCUUUUGUGUUUAUUAAGCGCUUAAAUCUCAGGCGGCGUCAGGGACAGUAUACAUGUAAAUUUUAUUAGGAUUGGAUGUGCUCCGUUUCCAUAUGUAAACUGCCAAAACCUUUUUAAAGCACCUUCUUUUGGGUCAGAACCUCCUCUACUUCCCCUUCCCCUUUGGGCAGGUAACGGUGCAUCCUUGGUCCAGGUUCGAUCCCCAGUGGCAACUCCAGGUCAGGUUGAGAGAGAUCCUUGCCUGAAAUCCUAGAGAACCUCAGCCAGUCAGUAUAGACAGUCCUGAGCUAGGUCUGCCUCUGUAUUCUAUAUUCUGUACUAGAUAAGAGCUGCUCACUUGAAACCACCGCUGAUACAGGGUGUGAACAAAGAGCAAAGCACACCUUGUGACCCUUUGACCUUUUUUAGCGUGGGGUGUCCAAUAAGAAAUUUGUGCAGCUGAAAGGCUAAGUGAACAUUAUGGACAUGUAUGUGUGUUGCACAGCUGUUGCUAACAAUCUGCAUCUUCCCCACAUUUCUCUUGCAGCAUCUAGUAAAAGAAACAAGCAUUGGGAUGCCAUAGGCUUCAGCAUUUCCUUAUCCUUCCUCUGUUGUGUUGACCAGUGUAUGCAGGACAAGGGGAAAUACCAGUUGUGGGGAGGUCGCAAGAUUGCUCAUUUCUUUUAUUAGGCAUUAGCAAGAUGACACAUGAGGCCAAGACGUCAAAAAGCAACGGUCAUGAGUUCCAGGUAAGUCACUCUUGUAUCUCCAUGGAACUCAGUGAGAUUAACAGGUUAGUUCUAAGUGACGCCAUCAUCUCCAGUAAUUCCAGCUAAGGUUCCAGCACAGUGGCUGCUGUGUUGUGGGAUAUCUUCAGGAGAAGAAAAGGCUGAGGAGUAAACCCUAUACAAAUCCGGAGUAGAGUCCCUAAGACAGUGAAAUGGUGCCUUGUACACCUCCUUCUGGCAACUCCUGCAGCUGAGUUAGUGCCAAAUGCCUUGCUCUGCUUUCCUUUGGACCACAUCAGUGAAGCCAAGAGGGGUUUUUUGUUAUAUGGGCAGCCCAGGACAUUCAUACACACUGAUCAGUGUUGUGCCCCGGAGAGGUCACCUUAGUGCUGCUAACACAACAAAAACAACAUGGGGAGGCAGCAGUUAUGAGUUACUGGUCACUGCAGCCACAGCAGGCGCUGUGAUUCCCCAGAGGUUUGAUUUUACCCCCGGAGGCAUACGCCAUUGUCUCUCGAGACGGACGGAUGCUAGCAAGAUAUCAGGAAAAAAUAACACAUUAGCUCAGUGGUAGGGCAUCCCACAUAAACUCUUCAGCAUCCCUGAGUAGAACUAGGAGUGACUCCCUGCCUGAAACCCUGGAGAGCUGCUGCCAGCCAUUGUAGGCAAUACAUUUGCAGCCCAAACAUUGAUGAACAGCAAAAUCUUCAAAAUCCAUCAAAUGCCUGGGAAAGAGGUGUUUUUUUACACGGUGCCAAAAACAGUGUUAAUGAUAGAGCUAGGCAGGCCUCACUGUGGACAGCUUUUCACAGACACGGAGCCACAGCUGAAAAGGCAACCUCCUCAAAGCUCUUGCUUCGAUAGUUCUCCACUGCAGGUUGUUGUUGUUUUAUUAAAUUUAUGUACUGCCCUUCCUCUGAAGAUCACAGGGCUGAUCACAACACAAAAGUGAAAACACAAAAUACAAAAGUUUUGAAGUGCUAGCAUCUACUUUACACCGAUACACCCACCCAAGAAAAAUAAUAGGAUCUGGAUUUGUUUUUCCUUUCAUAUCAUUUAGUUACAUAAAGGUGUAAGGAAUGCUGAGGGGGGAAAUAUUAACAUCAACAUGUCUGCAGUCAGAAAACCCUAGCAGCAAAAGGUUGCUUCCUGAAACAAACAACUGAGGGUCUCAUCUUAAAGGCGAACAGAUUUAUUGUGGUAUAAACAU